rnacentral:rRNA from 1 species
AGUGUAGGUGGCAUCACAAGUCAGAAGUGAAAGCCCGGGGCUCAACCCCGGGACUGCUUUUGAAACUGUGGAGCUGGAGUGCAGGAGAGGCAAGUGGAAUUCCUAGUGUAGCGGUGAAAUGCGUAGAUAUUAGGAGGAACACCAGUGGCGAAGGCGGCUUGCUGGACUGUAACUGACACUGAGGCUCGAAAGCGUGGGAGCAAACA